CAAACGCACUUGAGAACUCAAGCGGAUGUCAACAAAAGUGACGGCAACAUAUUUUAAUCACGUUUCACCCGAAAUAAGACAUCCUUAUCACAUCUGGCAAUACAGGACCGAAGUAACAUCUCGAGGAAGAAGACACGACUGUGUAUAUUGUCUAUUGUACAUUACUAGUUCCACUUUAGUUACGCUGGGCGGCUAGCAACAAACAGUGUCGACAGCUGGCGAAGAAGAUAUUAAGAAAGACUAAAAGAUGCGAAGUUUUCUACGGAUUGUUUUUGUGCUGUUCUUCUUUUCAUUUCACCAAGAAGGGAAUGCUACAAGAUAUCUUCCUUCGAUUGUAUGGGAUAAUCUCAAUCCAAUGUAAGCAUUCUUUAGUGCUAGAUAUAUAUAUGUAUACUGGCUAG